rnacentral:lncRNA from 1 species
CGCUUGGGAAGCCGCCACCGCCGCCGCUGCUGCAUGGCACUAGGCUCCCGGCGGGGCAGGUUCCGCAGCCGGCACCGCUCUGGCUAGGCGCACGGAGGCGCCUUGCUUAGUCUGACCCUUAUUUGGCCAGGCGUAAAACUUGUCCUGCCUAAAAGCCUACUGAGACCUCCUAACUGGUCUAAUCCGCGGGAGACGCCAAAGGCGGCGGCCGUUUGUGCGCACAGGAUUUUUCUUGGAGCUGUAGCAGUCUAGGAAGCCAGGGUGGAACUUUUGCUAAGCUCCCGUUGUAAGCCCAGAGCUGUAAUAACUGCUGAGACACAACCAGCAGUAUACAGGCUCCAGUUGGAAAUCGAGAACUUUCCAGGGCUGUCACCCAGGCUGGAGUGCAGUGGUGCCAUCACAGCUCACUGCAGCCUCGACCUCCUAGGCUAAAGUGAUCCUCCCAACUCAGCCUCCCGUAGCUGGGACUACAGGAAUGUGCCACGCCCAGAGGAGGACAUACAAAGGAGUCCUGGCUAAUGAGAGAUAAGCA